UACAGAGGUCCCGAGCGUUGUUCGGAUUUAUUGGGCGUAAAGGGUGCGUAGGCGGCGGAGUAAGUUGGGUGUGAAAUCCCGGGGCUUAACCUCGGAAUUGCAUUCAAUACUGCUUCGCUUGAGUACUGGAGAGGAGGCUGGAAUUUACGGUGUAGCAGUGAAAUGCGUAGAUAUCGUAAGGAAGGCCGGUGGCGAAAGCGAGCCUCUGGACAGUUACUGACGCUGAUGCACGAAGGCCAGGGGAGCAAACAGGG
rnacentral:rRNA from 1 species